UACGAAGGGGGCUAGCGUUGCUCGGAAUUACUGGGCGUAAAGCGCACGUAGGCGGUCUUUUAAGUCGGGGGUGAAAUCCUGGAGCUCAACUCCAGAACUGCCUCGAUACUGGAAGACUCGAGUCCGGGAGAGGUGAGUGGAACUGCGAGUGUAGAGGUGAAAUUCGUAGAUAUUCGCAAGAACACCAGUGGCGAAGGCGGCUCACUGGCCCGGUACUGACGCUGAGGUGCGAAAGCGUGGGGAGCAAACAGGGAUUAAGAAACCCGAG
rnacentral:rRNA from 1 species